rnacentral:tRNA from 1 species
UCCCAAAUAGUCUAGGCGGUUAGGAUACGUGGCUUUCACCCACCCGGGUUCGAGUCCCGGUUUGGGAA